rnacentral:lncRNA from 1 species
AAUUUGGCCAUGAGUUUGCCCAGGGCAAGGGCUACCAACAUGACCAGUGGCACCAGCGAGGCACCCCUCUGCUGCUGCAAGGAACAAGCUCCCAGGAGGACCCGUUCCUCCAGCCCUUGGCACCUCCUCCGGCAGCAGCAUCCGAUCAGGUCAUAACAUCRCUGCCUCACGAUAUCAGGCCAGAGCACCAGACAGCAGUGCUCAGCCCAGGGAYAGCUGUCUUUCCAGAAGUUUGCUAUGACCAUUCUCCACAGGUGGUCCAGCCACCAGGAGAUGCCAGGGAGCCUCAAGGCACCCCACUGCCCCUUGGGGUACAGCAGGCUACUGCAGGAGAGCAGCAUGAGUUAAAUGCAAGGACCCGAACGGUCUCGGAGAGCUCCACUAUCUCCCUAGAAGAGGACAUUCAGCCUUCCUUGGAAAGCAUGGCCGAGGAUGUCACUGAAGAGCAGUCAUCGGAGGAGGAGAAGCCAGAUGAAGUUAAGAGCUCGGGAUUCAGAUGGUUCGGCUGGUUUCGGUCGAAGCCCCCCAAGGAAGCCUCUCCCAAAGCCACAUCCGACACGCUGGGAUCUCAGGAACGGUCUUCGCCAUCACCCCCUUCUCCUCUUCYGGUGGCUGGGACAAGCCCUUCAGCUCAGCCUCCUGGGGGCCCAUCUCCUACUGCGCCCAGCCCUUCCUCCAGAAACCCAGUGUCCAUUGAAACGAAAGGCUCGUGGGGCAUGGACGGCGGGGACCUGGCAGCCUUUCCUGAGGCUGGAGAUCAGGAGGGCUCCCACGAACCUCCGCGGGGCCCCAGCCUGCCGGCGGAGGCCGUCCCGCUCUUCAACCCCGUCCAGGUCCCUCAGCUCGCUGCUGCCAGGCCCAACCAGCCCCGGCUGCUGUCCCAGCGGCGGUACCCCAACCCGCUGUGAGCGGGGGCCGCAGGGCCCUCUUCCACCCUUUUCCUCGGCGAGGGAGAGGCUCCCCGGGCCAGGCCCACGCGGGAGCUGCCCGGGCUUCGCUGGACCACUGGCACCACCAUUGCUGUUGGGAGGACCUCUCCGUGCUGAUGAAGUGCUCGUGAGGAGCCCGGCCSGCCUGCCUGCUGCCUCAAGGCACGCGUGCGGCAUCCGUCCGGGCCAUGUGUGUGUUCAAUGUCUGAAGAAACCACCUGCUCCCCUGCACCCCUGUGGCGUCGUGCUGGUCCCCUUCCUCUUCCCACCGCGCUGUGGUGGCCCUUCUUCCAAACAAAAAAUUUUUCUUUUUAUYCUGGUGGAAAAAUACAAGUUUGGCCACGAGAAAGCGC